UACAGAGGUCUCAAGCGUUGUUCGGAUUCAUUGGGCGUAAAGGGCGCGUAGGCGGCAAGGUAAGUCGGGUGUGAAAGCUUGGGGCUUAACCCCGAAAGGGCACUCGAAACUGCCCUGCUAGAGGGCCGGAGAGGAGAUCGGAAUUCACGGUGUAGCAGUGAAAUGCGUAGAGCUCGUGAGGAAGACCGGUGGCGAAGGCGGAUCUCUGGACGGCCCCUGACGCUGAGGCGCGAAGGCUAGGGGAGCAAACGGG
rnacentral:rRNA from 1 species